AAUAUUGGUCAAUGGACGCAAGUCUGAACCAGCCAUGCCGCGUGAAGGAUGAAGGUCCUCUGGAUUGUAAACUUCUUUUAUCUGGGACGAAACCCGGGCAUUCCUGCCCGAUUGACGGUACCAGAGGAAUAAGCACCGGCUAACUCCGUGCCAGCAGCCGCGGUAAUACGGAGGGUGCAAGCGUUAUCCGGAUUCACUGGGUUUAAAGGGUGCGUAGGAGGAUAGGUAAGUCAGUGGUGAAAUCUCCGGGCUUAACUCGGAAACUGCCGUUGAUACUAUCUAUCUUGAAUCCCGUGGAGGUGAGCGGAAUAUGUCAUGUAGCGGUGAAAUGCUUAGAUAUGACAUAGAACACCAAUUGCGAAGGCAGCUCACUACGCGAAGAUUGACUCUGAGGCACGAAAGCGUGGGGAUCAAACAGG
rnacentral:rRNA from 1 species